rnacentral:tRNA from 1 species
CAUUAUGAAGCUNAGUCAGCAUUAACCUUUUAAGUUAAAGAUCAGGAAUUCAAACCUCCUCAUAAUGA